rnacentral:rRNA from 1 species
AACCCUGACGCAGCAACGCCGCGUGGGUGAUGAAGGUCUUCGGAUUGUAAAGCCCUGUUUUCUAGGACGAUAAUGACGGUACUAGAGGAGGAAGCCACGGCUAACUACGUGCCAGCAGCCGCGGUAAUACGUAGGUGGCGAGCGUUGUCCGGAUUUACUGGGCGUAAAGGGUGCGUAGGCGGAUGUUUAAGUGGGAUGUGAAAUCCCCGGGCUUAACCUGGGGGCUGCAUUCCAAACUGGAUAUCUAGAGUGCAGGAGAGGAAAGCGGAAUUCCUAGUGUAGCGGUGAAAUGCGUAGAGAUUAGGAAGAACACCAGUGGCGAAGGCGGCUUUCUGGACUGUAACUGACGCUGAGGCACGAAAGCGUGGGUAGCAAACAGGAUUAGAUACCCUGGUAGUCCACGCCGUAAACGAUGGAUACUAGGUGUAGGGGGUAUCAACUCCCCCUGUGCCGCAGUUAACACAAUAAGUAUCCCGCCUGGGGAGUACGGUCGCAAGAUUAAAACUCAAAGGAAUUGACGGGGGCCCGCACAAGCAGCGGAGCAUGUGGUUUAAUUCGAAGCAACGCGAAGAACCUUACCUGGACUUGACAUCCCUUGCAUAGCCUAGAGAUAGGUGAAGCCCUUCGGGGCAAGGAGACAGGUGGUGCAUGGUUGUCGUCAGCUCG